CACGUGCCCGACCAGUGCGGAGGCGUUGUUCGCUUCAGGUAGGAUGAGCCAGCGGACGGUGGAGAGGGUUCCGAAAGGGGCAAGGGGACUAGGGGAGAGGGUGCGGGGGAGAGCAGGGGUAGGAGAGGAGGGCGCGUAGCGGCGGCGUGGUACCGGAGGGGGCCGGGCUUGGUGGCGGCGGUCGGUUCCGGUGGCAGGGGACAGGUGUGGUUAAGGGGAGGGGAGGUAGGGUCUGGAGAAGCGUGGCAGAGAGACAAGAGGGACAAGUGUCCGCCAAGCCGGCAGCGGUCUAGACGCGGGUCCGGCCUGCUUGCUGCCGGCCGGCUGCGGGGGGCCGCGUCCUAGAAGCAUUUCUUGGCCCUUCACCUAAAGCACUACCUCUGACCACGGUCCUUAUCUACGUAUGUACUUUAGAUAUAUAUUUAUGUGCCUCUCAUCACGGUCCCUAGUACUCCUUGGUUCUACAAAAAGUCGACUAUUACAUAAUUCACUAAAAGAAGUCUUCCUGAACACCAGCCUCAACAAAGUAGUAAUGUUCUUUAACCUUCAAUUUGGUGCAAAAAAUUUCUUAGAAAAGAUCUUCUGUUCAUGGGUCGUCUUAAGGGAACGUUUAUAUCGAUACCAGGUAAAGUCUUUUAUCUUCCACAACUUCAUACGGAGAAACCGUACAUACUAAACCACGUCUUACACGUCCUGGGUUUGGUUGAAAUCCCAAUAGACAGUAUAUAACUAAGACAGUCUAAGAGAUCUGGACCGCAUUUUUAUCACAGGUCCCUCCGGAACGUCUGUACAGAGAUAGUACUUUAAGACUAGUCAAUAGAAGUCAUAACAUUCGUCGCCCAUAAGUGAUCGACAAUGUAAACCCGAAAGGGUGGAAACUUCCCACUUUCUAAUGACGUCGAGCGAACGGUAUAAACUCCCUCUAAUAAACGGUCCUCGACGUCUUCUAUGCUAGUUGUUCGAAAAGGAGCUUCUACUAUCUUUCAUUUCUUCUGGUAGUGUUUUUCUCGAAACUCUCGAGUCACCAUUACGAAGGCUCCUGUGGACUACGAUUUCUAUAUGCUCAUCAAAGUACUUACAGUUACUUCUUACUUAUAGACUGUUUUGUGCCUACCAGACUUCUCCGUUCCUGCGAUACUUGGUACUAGAACUACCCUCCGAGUUCCUCAGGUGUCCCCGCGAGAGAAAGAACGGAACCCGCAAGAAGGACAACAGAGCCGCGCGGGAGAAACGUCGAGCUAAACGAAAGAAGACACGGCGGAGGACGACCGCCAAGAAUAGGAGUUCUUCGACGCGACGGAAGAGCCGCCGUACGUGAGCCAGUACCAAAACUUGGUGGCUCUCCUAUUUGUCAGGAAAGUCUAGACAGAAUACUAAGGAUCUAACUUGACCCGUUCUUGUUCUUCCACCACCAGGUACUUCUAACCUGAGUUUCUUUACAUCCACUGGUUGUACAUUACCUCUCGGCACCUCCCUCAAUUUUCACUUCUUAAACCCUCAACGGGGUCCCUACGUCUUUUUGUCUCCUACCGAAGAUGACCGCCGACGAGUAAUUUUAACGGUGUUCAAAGAAACUACUUUCUCCUCCUACCCUUGAUUACUGUACGUCUUAACCUUGACCUUAACACUUGAUUACGAGCAACCUCAUUGAUUAGACGACUUACAACGGUCCGACGUAAUAUAAACCUAGAUGACAAAACCAUCUACACUAAAGCAACACACAACGUACGGUGUACAACGACCCCUGAGUACAACCUACUGGGACCCCAUAUCUAAAAAACCGUGUCCACGGCGACAAGUCACAAGACAAGAGAAAAAAAAAAAAAAACGAAAGCCUUGGAGAAUAUACACAGGACUCGUUAACAGAACAGCAAAAACAAGAAUAGUUAUACUUAUUUUAGCAAUAAAGGCUUUUC
rnacentral:rRNA from 1 species